CUCAGGUAAAGUCUACUCUGUAGCAUGCAUUAGGACCCUACCUGAGCUCCACUCCUGUUAAUUUGCAGUUAAACUCAUCACAAGAGCUGAAAGGUCUACACUGCCAUUAGCUUUAGGGUCAGAUCAGCAUGGGAACAAGAAUACUCCACAGGCCUGAAUAUGUAACAAAAAAAAGUAUGUCCAGUUAUUAUCCCCUCCUCCCCACCCCGAUUUUCAAUGAAUGGCAGGGGGUGUUAAGGUCAGGACUGCACUUGGACUGUGAAGGGAAGUGCCCAAGCAGCUUUCAUACACACCUUUGUGAUACACAACACAAGUGAAGGUGUGUACC